GCAGCAGCCGCGGGAAUACCGAGGGUGCGAGCGUUAAUCGGAUUUACUGGGCGUAAAGCGUGCGUAGGCGGCUUUUUAAGUCGGAUGUGAAAUCCCUGAGCUUAACUUAGGAAUUGCAUUCGAUACUGGAAAGCUAGAGUAUGGGAGAGGAUUGUAGAAUUCCAGGUGUAGCGGUGAAAUGCGUAGAGAUCUGGAGGAAUACCGAUGGCGAAGGCAGCCAUCUGGCCUAAUACUGACGCUGAGGUACGAAAGCAUGGGGAGCAAACAGGAUUAGAUACCCCAGUAGUCCCUGUCUCUUAUAA
rnacentral:rRNA from 1 species